CCUACGGGGGGCAGCAGUAGGGAAUCUUCCACAAUGGGCGCAAGCCUGAUGGAGCAACACCGCGUGAGUGAAGAAGGGUUUCGGCUCGUAAAGCUCUGUUGUUGGAGAAGAACGUGCGUGAGAGUAACUGUUCACGCAGUGACGGUAUCCAACCAGAAAGUCACGGCUAACUACGUGCCAGCAGCCGCGGUAAUACGUAGGUGGCAAGCGUUAUCCGGAAUUAUUGGGCGUAAAGCGAGCGCAGGCGGUUGCUUAGGUCUGAUGUGAAAGCCUUCGGCUUAACCGAAGAAGUGCAUCGGAAACCGGGCAACUUGAGUGCAGAAGAGGACAGUAGAACUCCAUGUGUAGCGGUGGAAUGCGUAGAUAUAUGGAAGAACACCAGUGGCGAAGGCGGCUGUCUGGUCUGCAACUGACGCUGAGGCUCGAAAGCAUGGGUAGCGAACAGGAUUAGAUACCCCAGUAGUC
rnacentral:rRNA from 1 species